GCACUAGGGAAUGGUAGUAUUGUUAUUGACAGGGUACUGUAUUUUGUUUGUGGAGCUGUUUUCUGAAACGAAAACAUUAUUACCAAACAAUUAUCUGAUUUUUGCAACUAGAUCACUUUUUGACCAGACAACAACAGUGAACACUAAGACCUCUAAUCCCAAACAGACCUCUGUGGUUAUUCGAUUUAUGUAAUGAUCUUUGUGCACUAGUUGCAGUCCCCAAAUCUGGAUUUGGUCCCAGGUUGGAUAUUUUGGAUUUCGAAGCUUCGGUUGCAAUAUUCUUUGUAGAAUUAAUAUAUUAUUUAUGGACAGUGGAUGAUGUUUCUGGAUAUGCAAUUGAAAAGAUUAGUACUGAUGUUAAUAUGUCGUGAAUAAGGCAAUCGUAUUGUUUUGGUGCAGAAAAGUUUUCUGGAAACCAGCUGGUCGAUGGAACUUACUUUUGUGACUUCUUGUAUCACCAUGAGAAGAAACAGUAAAUAUCACGAUGGACUUCAAAAGAAGGAUGUUCGUGCAACUAUCAAAUACACAUACACACUUUUGCAC
rnacentral:lncRNA from 1 species